AAUCCGGAAGAUGAAGUGCAACCAAAGGGGAAGGGGUUUGUUUAUUGGGAUUGUGGAGCAACAGCUGCCUACAGCCACAGAGACACGAGUCAGGGCUGCAUCCUUUCAUUCCUCAGACCUCCCCGUCUCGCCACCCGUACAUCUUUUCUUCGCCUCUCUCCUCCUCUUCCAUUAUCUGCGUGGCCACAGUAGGAGGCCCGAUAAAUACAGACGAGCGCUGCAGGCGGCACGACGGCACGACGGAGGAAAGACUUGAGGAACGAGGCCUGCUGGGUUCACCAAGAUUGCCGGGGCCAUGGAGAUGUUGAGCGGUAAAAGUCCUGGCAGCCAAGGAGGAGAGUGAUGAAGUCGCACUGCUUUCCAAAACGCAGGCAGCAGCAGAAGGCACUCGAAUUGGAAAAGAAUAGGCCGUGCUCUGGGAAAACUUGGCUGCGAAAUAAAGGCAAAAUAUCCCGGAUUCCAAAUCUACCAUCUAUCACAUUUGUAGCCAGAGUCUGUGCAGUGGAGAUCGAGGUAUGAAGCCGGAAUAUGAAGGUCCCACCGAUACAUGCGCCCGACCAAUCUUUGGUCCAUGUCCAAACCACAACAUGGAGGAGGAGGGAUCUAUGAUGUGCAGAGCAAUCAACACACUUUGGCUUUUGCUUUUGGGGAGCAGUCACAUUCUCCAUCUUUAUAAACAGCCUCGGGUGGGACGGAGGAGAAAAUGCUUUCACACUGGCAUUUCAUGACAAUGUGGUUUAUGCAAGACAAACCACAAACGACAAUAUAGGGAAAACAGGGCAUUCUGGGAGAUGGGCACUGCAGAGGGAUUCCCCUGCUCUUCAAAGCACCACAACUGCAUGUACGCACACACCCACAUACACACACACACACACACACACACACACACACACACACACACACACACACACACACACACACACACACAGACACACACACUCACACUCCCUUUAUCUCUCGCUUCAGUAGAUGGAAUAAAGCCAGGUUUGCUUCCUGCCUCUCUUAUUUUAGCCUCCCUGCCGAGAGCACGCUUGGCCUCGAUUCCUCUAACCUGUCUCUGCUUUGUGCCGGAGCUCUUUUCUCUCCGGCUGCUCAUCCUCUUUCUCACCGCUGUGGACACAAACCCAUGACAACUUGGUGUUGCCUUCUCUCAUUCCCCUUGUUGGUCUGGGCUGCUUAUCGGGGAAAUGCAUUGGGUCGGCUUUCAACCUGCCAGUGUUGGAUAGGCCCGCUUUGAAAUGAUAGCUUCUGCAUGCGAGUAGAAAUGAGGACACAUCCUGCAGCUGCUGGGGGCUGGACACAGCACCGGGGGGGGUUUCUUGACCCUUGUACAUCAAGAUGAAGUGAAGGGUACAAGGAGGUCAAAGGAGGUUGAAUGUCAAAUCAAGAGGGACAACAAUAAAAACAUUUAAACAAAUAUUGGACGAAAAAUAUCUUUCGGUUAUAUCCCAAAAUACCAGCUCAAUUCAUCAACCAACAUUUAAUCAAGCUGCACAGCAAGAAAUCAACAGAUAAAUCAUUUGGCCUCUAAAAUGUCAAAGUGCCCACAGCCCAUUUGUGUGCAACGCAGAAGAAAAGGUAUUUAAUUGACAUGGAAUGAAGAGAAAGAAGAAUCCCUUAAAAGGUUUAGGAGGAUGUGAUGAGCAUUUACUUAAUGAAGAACUUGAUUGAUGAUCAACUGACACAAUUAAAGUAGUUAGUAAAG